rnacentral:rRNA from 1 species
CCUACGGGAGGCAGCAGUGAGGAAUAUUGGUCAAUGGGCGUAAGCCUGAACCAGCCAAGUCGCGUGAGGGAUGAAGGUUCUAUGGAUCGUAAACCUCUUUUAUAUGGGAAUAAAGUGUGGGACGUGUCCUGUUUUGCAUGUACCUUAUGAAUAAGGAUCGGCUAACUCCGUGCCAGCAGCCGCGGUAAUACGGAGGAUCCGAGCGUUAUCCGGAUUUAUUGGGUUUAAAGGGUGCGUAGGCGGGCUUUUAAGUCAGUGGUGAAAGUCUGGGGCUCAACCGUAAAAUUGCAGUUGAGACUGGGAGUCUUGAGUACAGUAGAGGUAGGCGGAAUGCGUGGUGUAGCGGUGAAAUGCUUAGAUAUCACGAAGAACCCCGAUUGCGAAGGCAGCCUGCCGGGCCAUGACUGACGCUGAUGCACGAAAGCGUGGGGAUCAAACAGGAUUAGAUACCCGAGUAGUC